ACACGCAUGACACACUGCAUAUCAAUAAGCGGAGGAAAAGAAACUAACAAGGAUUCCCUUAGUAACGGCGAGUGAAGCGGGAAGAGCUCAAAUUUGAAAUCUUCAAGGUUUGACCUUGACGAAUUGUAGUUUAAAGAAGUGUUUUCGGUUAGAGGAGUAGUAAAAGUUCUUUGGAAUAGGACAUCAUAGAGGGUGAGAAUCCCGUAUUUGGUCAUUCUUUCUAGCUUUGUGAUACACUUUCAACGAGUCGGAUUGUUUGGGAAUGCAGUCCAAAAUGGGUGGUAAAUUUCAUCUAAAGCUAAAUACUGGCGAGAGACCGAUAGCGAACAAGUACCGUGAGGGAAAGAUGAAAAGAACUUUGAAAAGAGAGUUAAACAGUACGCUGAAAUUGUCAAAAGGGAAGCGUUUGACACCAGUGUUGUUUUCUCGAAAAUCAAUUAAAAAAGGCCGGAUUUUGUGUUGUAUUGACCUUAAAAGCUUUCUUCACUCUUUUCUUGUCUUUUUUAAUGCACUUUUCGUUUAACAAGUCAACAUCAGUUUCUUUUGUUGUAAAAGGGUCAUUGGAAGGUGGCUUUCUUUUCGGAGAAAGUGUUUAUAGCCUUUGAUCUCUGCAACCGGAGAGACUGAGGUCUGCAGCGUAGACUCUUCGGGGUUAGAUACAUUUGUGCUAAGCUAUAGCUUUUUAUAGACAACUUGUUGACUAUAUUUAGUCUUGUGGCUUACUCGCUUAUGCUAUUUUACCUACGCUUAGGAUGUUGAGCGCAUGUCUCUCUCU
rnacentral:rRNA from 1 species